AGCUCCAGUAGCGUAUAUUAAAGCUGUUGCAGUUAAAAAGCUCGUAGUUGGAUCUUGGGCCCAGGCCUGCGGUCCGCCGUGAGGCGAGUACUGCAGUCCUGGCCUUCCUCUCGGUUUUCGCCCGGUGCUCUUAACUGAGUGCCAGGAGAGGCCGGAACGUUUACUUUGAAAAAAUUGGAGUGUUCAAAGCAGGCCUCGCGCCUGAACAGCAGAGCAUGGAAUAAUGGAAUAGGACCUCGGUUCUAUUGCGUUGGUUUUCGGAACUCGAGGUAAUGAUUAAGAGGGACUGACGGGGGCAUUCGUAUUGCGGUGUGAGAGGUGAAAUUCUUGGAUCGCCGCAAGACGACCGACUGCGAAAGCAUUUGCCAAGAAUGUUUUCAUUAAUCAAGAACGAAAGUAG
rnacentral:rRNA from 1 species